UGGAUCUUGUUGUAGCCAAAUUACAGAUUGUUGCCAAUAUAUGGCAACAACCACGAUGAUGUAGCAUCUUUCCAUGAGCGUGAGGAAGGCUGUGUGGAGAUUGACUCUUAGUUUCAAUCUUCUCAGUCAUCGAUGAUCGCUCAGUCCUUGCACUUAGUGCAAGGAUGAUGGGAAAGAUGCGUUCUGAGUGGC